ensembl:lncRNA
AUUUCAUUCUUAAAUUUGUCCUAAUCAUUCUUGGAAUUUUUAUCCUUCUUAAGAUAAUUAUAAACUUUUGUACUACUCAGUUUUCUAAAUAAUAACCUGCUUCUAAGCAUAUGGUAUAGAUUUUUCUUUGUAUGUAUCUUUUAAGCAUGAACUCUUCCAAGAUACUUCAAAUAUUUUGCAUCUAUAUUCAAUUUCCUGUUGCCUUGUUCUCUUCAGGUAUACCACUACAUGCUAUUCCUUUUGUCAUCUGCAUGGAUAGUUUACUAUUGUGCAAUUGGAAAUCUUGUGCCUUUGAACUACAUUUCCCAGGAGCCCUCUGACUUCCUGUUGUUACCUGCUGAUGUAAACAGAAGAUAAAUUGGGGGGAGUUUCAUGUCUAAGCCUCUUUCCUUCUGUACUAGGAGGGGGUCAGGAACUAAAGUUUGAAAGGUCUAAAAGAGAGAGGGGACAGAUAAAAAGAAGCACUACUUCUUCUCUUAGGUAAAGCUACACAAGGGAAGGUGAGAGAUUUGAUCAAGGUCCAGCUGAGAAGUAAAGAGGAAAUCCCCAUUCAGUCUCUGGUUUCUGGUUUCUUCCCUUGAUAGAUAUUAUCCUAAUCCCCUUAGGGACAUUAGGUGACUAAGAUGUUCAGUUUCUUCUGGAUUAAUAAGAUCUAUUUAUUAUUUGUAGUAUUUAGGAAUGGUAGUGUUUAGGGUAGAGCGAAAAUUAGGAAUCCCUAAUUACUAUUUUAACCUAAAUUCCUCUCACGGGUUGAGGGCUCAGGUCUGGGAACCUGAGUCCCUGGUGAGAUUGUGGUGUCAGGCUGUUGGGUUUUCCUGAUAUAAAGUGGAGUACAGCUGUAUAAGAGGGCAAUUGCAAAUCUUCUUGGGUGGGUAGUCUCUUCUCUUCCCCAAAAGGGAAGUCUCUCUUCACUACUGACUGGAUGGCUAAAUCUGAUUUUCUUCAGAUAUAUGUGGGAUCACCACAGUUUGAGUUCAGUAAGAUGAUCCUCUCUUUUCAAGUUCAAAAAAGAGAAGAACCUCCUCUCCAACUGCUGAUCUGCUUUUCUUGGCUAGAGAUUCUAUCCCAUCCCCCAUUGAGAGAAAAAUUCCAUCCUCUUUUUGCACAAUGUUAUUUCAAUAAAUCUGUGAAACACAGUCUGCAAUCCUCUCACCCACACAUCCUGGAUCUGAACAUUGGUGGAGCAGGCUAUUUGAGCAGGUAUUGUGGAAGAAUCUGCUAUAUUCGUUUGGAGGGUGCUACAAGGCAAUUUUGGAGAUGGGAAUAUCUUCAAUAUAAAUUUCAAAGGUGUCUUCUUUAAUAGAGUGAAUGGCCAUGACUAGCUCUUCAACAUUAGAAAAGGCAAUUAGGUCCCCAUCUUCAUCUCUGUAGUAUUCCUAGAAACCUCCUGCUGCAGUCUCAGAAACUCACUCACACCUUGGAACAGCUCUUCUCAGAUGUCUUAGCACUCAAACAGCUUCAGGGGGAAAAAUUGCAUAUCUCAUGGAGCAUCUCUUCUUUGUACAUCAGGUAACUCUUGAAGGAAGGCCAUCAAGUAGAGAUUAACCACUGUAAUUGUAAUCAGGUGUAUGAAUUAAGAGCACAAUGCAGCAUAUUGGAAUCAUCAUAAAUACUAAGAGGCUAUCAAAGGUUGCCCACAAGUCUUACCAUGAUUUUUACUGCUCUAAAAGGACUGAGAAAGACUCAACUAACCUGGGAGUCCACCUAGACUUGCUCACACAAGUCAUUCUUCAUUUUAAAACCACUAGCAUUCUCAUAAUGAUACUGAAUGAACUGAUAAUAUGAAACUUAUAAAGUUUACAAAUAAAAUAAUUUAUACUCUAACUUUUGAAUGUUUU